ACUCAAAGGAAUUGACGGGGGCCCGCACAAGCAGCGGAGCAUGUGGCUUAAUUCGACGCAACGCGAAGAACCUUACCAAGGCUUGACAUGCAGGGAAAUCUCCCAGAGAUGGGAGGUCCGCAAGGGUCCUGCACAGGUGGUGCAUGGUUGUCGUCAGCUCGUGUCGUGAGAUGUUGGGUUAAGUCCCGCAACGAGCGCAACCCUCGUUCUAUGUUGCCAGCGCGUUAUGGCGGGGACUCAUAGGAGACUGCCGGGGUCAACUCGGAGGAAGGUGGGGACGACGUCAAAUCAUCAUGCCCCUUAUGUCUUGGGCUGCACACAUGCUACAAUGGCCGGUACAAAGGGCUGCUAAACCGCGAGGUGGAGCGAAUCCCAAAAAGCCGGUCUCAGUUCGGAUUGGGGUCUGCAACUCGACCCCAUGAAGUCGGAGUUGCUAGUAAUCGCAGAUCAGCAACGCUGCGGUGAAUACGUUCCCGGGCCUUGUACACACCGCCCGU
rnacentral:rRNA from 1 species